CCGCCACUCCUGGCACAGCCAAGACUACCAGCCAGAGCCACGUAGGGGCGGGGAAACCAAGCCGGAAGCGGUCACGCAUGGGUCCCCAGCCGGGAGCAAUGCGCCUGCGCAGGACGGCCAGCGCUGGGCGGGAGGGGAUCCUGCUAUUUCAGGGAAUGAUCCCUGUUACACCAGCUGCAGGCCAGGGGGGGACGAUGUCCUGCAAGAUCGGAGUUUGGAAGGAUUCAUUCCUCUUCCGCAAGUGAGCCCUGUCAAGGCCAGCUUUCAGCGAUCCUGUAAAUUCCCUUAGCGCUAGGCCCCCUUAUAUAGUUCCUGUUAAUACUGUAUUAUACUCAUGUUUUUCGGCCUCCUUUUGAUUUUUCAUUCAUUCAUUCAUCCUUUCAGCAAAUAUUUGUUGCUCUUCUUUUCUAUGCCAGCCACGCAAGACAAUGAGUAUAAGGCAGGGAAUAAAAGACAUGAAAUACUUGUCCCCAUGGAGCUGAAAUUCUCGUGGCUGAAACAGGUAGCAAGCAAUUACUUGAGUAUUUAGGUGAAAUUGUGCGAGUGCUAGGAAAUAAGUAAAAAGUGCUAGGACAGAACAUAAUAGCGGACCUGACCUUGUUUAUUGUUUGGUUUUAUUGGGGUGGGUGUGGAGGGUUCAAGACCGGAACUGACUUUGUUGUAAAUGUCUAGAGGUUGGGAUCUUACUUAAGUUCACUUUGUAUACACAGUAUCUAGCAUGGGACUUGGCACAUACACAGGGCUUAGUAAAUAUUUGCAAAGUAAAAAAUAAAUGGAACAGAAUGUGUAUGUAGGGUAAAUACUAUAACCAGCAUCUAUUACAAAGCAGUUUAUACCUUUACAAUACUUUCUAUACACUGUCCAACUAGUCACAAUCCAAUCUUGAGAGUGUGCCUUACGUCAAUUUUUUUUAAUCAAGAAAUUUACCUGUGUCUCAGAGAAGCCCCUCGAGGUUUCUUAAAAGUAAAAACUAAAAGAGGAAUCAUUUUAAUGUUAGCACAAAGCACCAUAGACACAUGCCUGCCAAAGGAUACCUGAGGUGGUCACCCACUUCUUAUGACAGAAAAUGAGAGGCAAAUAGAUGAAGUCCAGAGCAUUCAUUCCUAUCAGGCUGUGUGCACUCACUUAGUCCCAGUCAUAUCACAAUUAUAAUUUAAUGCCCAGGUUCUUACUCCAUUAAUUCCUGUUCCUAGAGUAGAAUGACUUUCACAAAACAGAAGAGAUAAUUUCCAUGUUACCAGGUUAACAGGGAUCAGUUCUCACCUAUAAACUUUAUGGUGGCAUUAGAUGUUCUAGAAGUUACUUUCAGCAUCAGAAACAGACAAUCCUAUAAACAAACCCUGCAGAAAAGGCAAGAUUUCAGGACCUCCUUUUUCCAUGUAAAAGAUGCAGUGCUUCCUCUCAUCACCCAGUCCUGUGAUUAAACCCUAAAUAAUGGUGCCAAUGUCAAACUAGAGUAAAACUUAAAUUUAUUGAUGCUGAGCUUUACAGGAUGAAUAGAGAACACAUAACUCUU